AGGACGAACGCUGGCGGCGUGCUUAACACAUGCAAGUCGAGCGGUAAGGCCCUUUCGGGGGUACACGAGCGGCGAACGGGUGAGUAACACGUGAGCAAUCUGCCCUUCACUUCGGGAUAAGCCUCGGAAACGGGGUCUAAUACCGGAUAUGACCGCGCUACGCAUGUGGUGUGGUGGAAAGUUCUGGCGGUGGAGGAUGAGCUCGCGGCCUAUCAGAUUGUUGGUGGGUAAUAGCCUACCAAGGCUUCGACGGGUAGCCGGCCUGAGAGGGUGACCGGCCACACUGGGACUGAGACACGGCCCAGACUCCGUACGGGAGGCAGCAGUGGGGAAUAUGGACAAUGGGCGAAAGCCUGAUCCAGCAACGCCGACGUGAGGGAUGACGCCGUUCGGUUGUAAGUCUUCUUCGAGCGCGACGACGCGAGAGUGACGGUGCGACGAGAAGAGCCGAACCGGCCAACGUACGUA
rnacentral:rRNA from 1 species